CUAAAUUAAACAGCCUAAUUCCAGAAUCACAUUAAAUAUACAAGAUGAAGAAAAUUAUCUUCUCUAGGUGGAUUCCAAAACUGGAUGAUCAAGAUGGAGAGGAUACUACUCCUACGAAGUCCAGCUGUUUAACUGUUGGAAGCAACUCAAAUCGCAAGACCAGAAACUUCAGGCUACCAUUGUGACUAAGCACUUUUGCACCAUUUGAUAUCUUGCCAUUUUGCAGCAGCUUCAGAAAAGAGAAAUUUUGUAGAUUAAAUAAAUCUGAGCUACAGUGUC